CUGAAGGCGGGACCUCGCCUCAGAGUUUUCAACUCUUGGGGCUGCGGAGAAGAAAAACUGGGCAGGCGGGAAAGUCACUUUUGUAGCUCCUUCCCAUCGCGAGUCGGGGAGUUGCAGAGAAAAAACAUUUAUUCCGCUCUGGUACUCCACCUGGAGGCGUGCCAUCCCCCAGCCUAACGGGUCGAAUUAAAAAGUCUGUAAGGCGGUCUCAACUUCUUCAUCAGAAUCCCAGGUUCAGUACAGCAGCAUUCCAGAACUUCUGCUGCUUCUGCUUCAAGUUUGAGCUGAUUGUGCUACUUAACUCUCAAUUAACUUGCCGAGCCUUCAACAGAGAAGACUUUUCUUCAGAUUAUCCGAAUCCUGAAAGAAAGUUACAAAUAAUCAAUGUCCAUCUGGGGUGCCAAUUUGACCUCAGGCAAUAGACAUUUUUCUUGACUUACUAUACAUGAAUAAAGAAGUCCUGGAA